rnacentral:siRNA from 1 species
GCAUACUUCACAGUGUCCUGA